rnacentral:rRNA from 1 species
CCUACGGGGGGCAGCAGUGAGGAAUAUUGGUCAAUGGACGAGAGUCUGAACCAGCCAAGUAGCGUGAAGGAUGACUGCCCUAUGGGUUGUAAACUUCUUUUAUAUGGGAAUAAAACGUUCCACGUGUGGGAUUUUGUAUGUACCAUAUGAAUAAGGAUCGGCUAACUCCGUGCCAGCAGCCGCGGUAAUACGGAGGAUCCGAGCGUUAUCCGGAUUUAUUGGGUUUAAAGGGAGCGUAGGUGGAUUGUUAAGUCAGUUGUGAAAGUUUGCGGCUCAACCGGAAAAUUGCAGUUGAAACUGGCAGUCUUGAGUACAGUAGAGGUGGGCGGAAUUCGUGGUGUAGCGGUGAAAUGCUUAGAUAUCACGAAGAACUCCGAUUGCGAAGGCAGUUCACUGGACUGCAACUGACACUGAGGCUCGAAAGUGUGGGUAUCAAACAGGAUUAGAUACCCUGGUAGUC